GGGUCUAUAUAUAAUUUGGAAAUAGUUUUGCACAUAAGAAUGCGUAGUAAUGUUAUUUCUAAUAGAGUAAAUUACACUCACCAUAGGACAAGUAUCUAAGUGGGUGCAUGUUAGUCCAACAUCUUGUAAUUUAUCCAAUUUAAAACAACAGCAAUAUAGGUGGGUGCAUAUUGAUCGACAAUCUUCUCAUAAGUUUAAUUUGAUACAAGAACUUGCUUAUUCGUGCAUAUACGGUCC
rnacentral:lncRNA from 1 species